rnacentral:rRNA from 1 species
ACAUAUCAAUAAGCGGAGGAAAAGAAACCAACAGGGAUUGCCCCAGUAACGGCGAAGUGAAGCGGCAACAGCUCAAAUUUGAAAUCUGGCCCCCAGGCCCGAGUUGUAAUUUGCAGAGGAUGCUUCUGGCGACGCGCCUUCCGAGUUCCCUGGAACGGGACGCCACAGAGGGUGAGAGCCCCGUCCGGUCGUGCGCCUAGCCUGUGUGAAGCUCCUUCGACGAGUCGAGUAGUUUGGGAAUGCUGCUCUAAAUGGGAGGUAUACGUCUUCUAAAGCUAAAUACCGGCCAGAGACCGAUAGCGCACAAGUAGAGUGAUCGAAAGAUGAAAAGCACUUUGAAAAGAGGGUUAAAUAGUACGUGAAAUUGCUGAAAGGGAAGCGCUUAUGACCAGACUUGGGCCCGGUGAAUCACCCAGCGUUCUCGCUGGUGCACUUUGCCGGCCCAGGCCAGCAUCAGUUCGCGCCGGGGGAUAAAGGCUUCGGGAAUGUAGCUCCCUCGGGAGUGUUAUAGACCGUUGCGUAAUACCCUGGCGCGGACUGAGGUACGCGUUCUGCAAGGAUGCUGGCGUAAUGGUCAUCAGUGACCCGUCUUGAAACACGGACCAAGGAGUCGUCUUUGUAUGCGAGUGUUCGGGUGUCAAACCCCUACGCGUAAUGAAAGUGAACGUAGGAGAGAGCUUCGGCGCAUCUCCGACCGAUCCUGAUGUUCUCGGAUGGAUUUGAGUAAGAGCAUACAGGGCCGGACCCGAAAGAAGGUGAACUAUGCCUGUAUAGGGUGAAGCCAGAGGAAACUCUGGUGGAGGCUCGCAGCGGUUCUGACGUGCAAAUCGAUCGUCAAAUAUGGGCAUGGGGGGCGAAAGACUAAUCGAACCUUCUAGUAGCUGGGUUUCCGCC